AACGAACGCUGGCGGCAUGCCUAACACAUGCAAGUCGAACGAGACCUUCGGGUCUAGUGGCGCACGGGUGCGUAACGCGUGGGAACCUGCCCUUAGGUUCGGAAUAACUCCCCGAAAGGGGUGCUAAUACCGGAUAAUGUCUUCGGACCAAAGAUUUAUCGCCUUUGGAUGGGCCCGCGUUGGAUUAGCUAGUUGGUAGGGUAAAAGCCUACCAAGGCGACGAUCCAUAGCUGGUCUGAGAGGAUGAUCAGCCACACUGGGACUGAGACACGGCCCAGACGAAGACGGGAGGGAGCAGUGCGGGAUAGGGGAAGAUGGCCGGAAGGAUGAACCGGCUAUGACGCGGGAGUAAUGAAGGGAGUGGGGAGGUAAAGCGCUUCUACCCGCGACGGGAAGGAAGGGGCCGGAAGAAUAAGCUCCGGCUAACUCCGUG
rnacentral:rRNA from 1 species